GACAGAGGGUGCAACCGUUGUUCGGAAUUACUGGGCGUAAAGCGCACGCAGGCGGUUCGCCAAGUUUGGAGUGACAGUUGUCGGCUCAACCGAUAAAGGACUUCAAAAACUGGUGAACUUGAGGACGAGAGAGGAACAUGGAACUCCAGGUGUAGUAGUGAAAUGCGUAGAUAUCUGGAAGAACACCAAUGGCGAAGGCAAUGUUCUGGCUCGUUUCUGACGCUCAGGUGCGAAAGCCAGGGGAGCGAACGGG
rnacentral:rRNA from 1 species